rnacentral:rRNA from 1 species
GACGAACCGUGCAAACGUUGUUCGGAUUCACUGGGCUUAAAGGGCGCGUAGGCGGGCGGCCAAGUCAGGGGUGAAAUCUUUCGGCUCAACCGGAAAAUUGCCUUUGAUACUGGCCGUCUGGAGGGAGGUAGGGGCACGUGGAACUUCCGGUGGAGCGGUGAAAUGCGUUGAUAUCGGAAGGAACGCCGGUGGCGAAAGCGACGUGCUGGACCUCUUCUGACGCUGAUGCGCGAAAGCUAGGGGAGCGAACGGG